GUCCAGCCGGAAGUGGGGAGAGUCACCAUGGGAACCGUUGACGCUGAAACUAGCCACUUCCUCUUGGCACUAAGAAGCUGAAUCUGCGCGAUCCUCAGAUCAACCUCGGUCUCUCUGGCUGGACAAUUUCCUGGUUCUGCCCAGAAGGCAGACUAACGCCUUUCCUCUUGGAAAAGUCGCAGAUCUUUAUACACCUUCAGUUUAUACGUUUCUUUGUGCCUUAUAAUAGGCAUAAAGGUCUGGUUAUAUCUCAUCUUUCUCCAGGAGCUCUCCAGAAGCGCACAGCACUUAGGGAGACAGAGGCAGAAGGAUCUCUUGAGCCCGGGAGUUGCAGACCAGCCUGGAAAACAUGGUGAAGCCUGUCUCUACAAAAAUAUAAAAAUCAGCCGGGUGUGGUGAUGCGGCCUAUAGUUCCAGCUCCUGGAGGACUGAGGCGGGAGUAUUGCUUGAGCCCAGGAGAUGCAGGAUGCAGUGAGUGGUGAUUGCAUCACUGCACUCCUGCCUAGGCGGCAGAGCCAGACCAUCUCAAAAAAAGAAGAAAAAAAAAAGUUUGAAACGAGGCCAGCCACAUCACAUUUAUGAUUUUUGCAAAGGUGGUUUCAAGUCAGCCCCUAUGCCUUCUAAUCUCUGUGGGCCUUGAGUACUGAGACAGGAGGAAGAUGGCAAGUUCACAAGGGGGAGACCUUCUGAGGAGGCGGCAGCAUGUUUAUUGUUAUUUUUUCCCAGAGACCACUCUUCACACUACAACUGAAUAAAAUUUAUUGUCACCGUGUGUCAAAUUGUCCCCCACGUUGUGAUAUUACUUUGUCCCCCUGCUGUGUCCCCUGACUGACCCUUUCUUUAGGUUUAGGAAGAUAAAACAAAUGUUUGCAACUUCAGACUUCUUAUUCUAGGCUUCCAAGUUGGCUUUAUUUUUUUAAAAAACUUUUUAGGGCCGGGCACUGUGGCUCACAUCUGUAAUCCCAGCACUUUGGGAGGCCAAGGUGGUUGUAUCAAAAGGUCAAGAGAUAGAGACCAUACUGGCCAACAUGGUGAAACCUGUCUCUACUAAAAAUACAAAAAUUAGCCAGCGUGUUGGUGGAUGCCUGUAGUCCUAGCUACUCGGGAGGCUGAUGCAGGAGAAUUGCUUGAACCCAAGAGGCAGAGGUUGCAGUCAUCUUAAAACAAUUUUUUAAACUAUUUUUUAAAAACUAUAAUUGUUCUAACUUCUGCUGAUCUCAAGCAUACCAGAAAAUUCUGUGAAGACAAAGAGCCAAAAAAAAUCAUUUUUGUGUAAUUCUUUUGAAAUAAUUCAGAAUAGUUUUUAGUACUUUGAUAUUGGCAGUGUUUUUGUUUGUAUUUAAAAAAUGACUAUAAAACCUUUUUUGUUCUUACGCAUGUUAUUAGAUGUAAUUCAAUAUGAAUUUAUAAUAUGUGUAUUUAUUUUUGCUUAUUA